GACGGAGGGUGCAAACGUUGUUCGGAAUCACUGGGCAUAAAGAGCACGUAGGCUGCGCGCUAAGUCAGGUGUGAAAUCCCCCGGCUCAACCGGGGGAACUGCACCUGAUACUGGCGUGCUCGAGGACGGUAGGGGUGAGUGGAACUCCAGGUGGAGCGGUGAAAUGCGUAGAUAUCUGGAGGAACACCGGUGGCGAAAGCGGCUCACUGGACCGUUACUGACACUCAACUACGAAAGCGUGGGGAGCAAACAGG
rnacentral:rRNA from 1 species